rnacentral:tRNA from 1 species
UAGAUCUUAGUUUAUUAAAAAUUUAAAUUUGUCAAAUUUAAGAAAAUAAUUAUUUUAUUAGUUCUAG